rnacentral:rRNA from 1 species
AGAGUUUGAUCCUGGCUCAGGAUGAACGCUGGCGGCGUGCUUAACACAUGCAAGUCGAACGGAAAGGCCUCUAGCUUGCUAGAGGUACUCGAGUGGCGAACGGGUGAGUAACACGUGGGUGAUCUGCCCUGCACUGUGGGAUAAGCCUGGGAAACUGGGUCUAAUACCAUAUAGGACCGCAUCUUGGAUGGUGUGGUGGAAAGCUUUUGCGGUGUGGGAUGAGCCUGCGGCCUAUCAGCUUGUUGGUGGGGUAAUGGCCUACCAAGGCGGCGACGGGUAUCCGGCCUGAGAGGGUGUACGGACACAUUGGGACUGAGAUACGGCCCAGACUCCUACGGGAGGCAGCAGUGGGGAAUAUUGCACAAUGGGCGCAAGCCUGAUGCAGCGACGCCGCGUGGGGGAUGAAGGCCUUCGGGUUGUAAACUCCUUUCGCUAUCGACGAAGCCACUUGUGGUGACGGUAGGUAGAUAAGAAGCACCGGCUAACUACGUGCCAGCAGCCGCGGUAAUACGUAGGGUGCAAGCGUUGUCCGGAAUUACUGGGCGUAAAGAGCUCGUAGGUGGUUUGUCGCGUCGUCUGUGAAAUCCCGGGGCUUAACUUCGGGCGUGCAGGCGAUACGGGCAUAACUUGAGUGCUGUAGGGGAGACUGGAAUUCCUGGUGUAGCGGUGAAAUGCGCAGAUAUCAGGAGGAACACCGAUGGCGAAGGCAGGUCUCUGGGCAGUUACUGACGCUGAGGAGCGAAAGCAUGGGUAGCGAACAGGAUUAGAUACCCUGGUAGUCCAUGCCGUAAACGGUGGGCGCUAGGUGUAGGGGGCUUCCACGUCUUCUGUGCCGUAGCUAACGCAUUAAGCGCCCCGCCUGGGGAGUACGGCCGCGAGGCUAAAACUUAAAGGAAUUGACGG